CGCCAGCCGGAGGCUUACCAUGCAAGUCGAGGGGUAACAUUACAGCUUGCUGUAGAUGACGACCGGCGCACGGGUGCGUAACGCGUAUACAAUUUGCCUUAUACUGGAGAAUAGCCCUGAGAAAUUGGGAUUAAUGCUCCAUAGUAUCUUAAAACGGCCUCGUUUAAAGAUUAAAGCUCCGGCGGUAUAAGAUGAGUAUGCGUCCUAUUAGUUAGUUGGUGAGGUAACGGCUCACCAAGACUACGAUAGGUAGGGGUCCUGAGAGGGAGAUCCCCCACACUGGUACUGAGACACGGACCAGACUCCUACGGGAGGCAGCAGUGAGGAAUAUUGGGCAAUGGAGGCAACUCUGACCCAGCCAUGCCGCGUGAAGGAAGACGGCCCUAUGGGUUGUAAACUUCUUUUAUACAGGAAGAAACGCAGAUACGUGUAUCUGUUUGACGGUACUGUACGAAUAAGGACCGGCUAACUCCGUGCCAGCAGCCGCGGUAAUACGGAGGGUCCAAGCGUUAUCCGGAAUCAUUGGGUUUAAAGGGUCCGUAGGCGGAUAAUUAAGUCAGAGGUGAAAGCCCACAGCUCAACUGUGGAACUGCCUUUGAUACUGGUUAUCUUGAGUUAUAGUGAAGUAGAUAGAAUAUGUAGUGUAGCGGUGAAAUGCAUAGAUAUUACAUAGAAUACCGAUUGCGAAGGCAGUCUACUAACUAUAUACUGACGCUGAUGGACGAAAGCGUUGGGGGAGGCGAACAGGAUUAGAUACCUGGGUAGUCCACCGCCCGUAACGAUGGAUACUAGUUGUUGGUCUGCUUGCAGAUCAGUGACCAGCGAAAGUGAUAAGGUUUCCCACCUGGGGGAGUACGUUCGCAGAUUGAACUCAAUGAUGACGGGGCUCGCGCACAAAGC
rnacentral:rRNA from 1 species